UACGGAGGGAGCUAGCGUUGUUCGGAAUUACUGGGCGUAAAGCGCGCGUAGGCGGUUUAUCAAGUCAGAGGUGAAAUCCCGGGGCUCAACUUCGGAACUGCCUUUAAUACUGCCAGUCUAGAGUCCGGAAGAGGUAAGUGGAACUCCUAGUGUAGAGGUGGAAUUCGUAGAUAUUAGGAAGAACACCAGUGGCGAAGGCGGCUUACUGGUCCGGUACUGACGCUGAGGUGCGAAAGCGUGGGGAGCAAACAGG
rnacentral:rRNA from 1 species